UACGUAGGGGGCAAGCGUUGUCCGGAUUCAUUGGGCGUAAAGAGCGUGUAGGCGGCCAGGUAGGUCGGUUGUGAAAAUUGGAGGCUCAACCUUCAGAGGUCGACCGAAACCAUCUGGCUAGAGUCCGGGAGAGGAGAGUGGAAUUCCUGGUGUAGCGGUGAAAUGCGCAGAUAUCAGGAAGAACACCCGUGGCGAAGGCGGUCUGCUGGGCCGUUGCUGACGCUGAGGCGCGACAGCGUGGGGAGCAAACAGG
rnacentral:rRNA from 1 species